rnacentral:tRNA from 1 species
GGCGCCAUGGCUUAGUUGGUUAAAGCGCCUGUCUAGUAAACAGGAGAUCCUGGGUUCGAAUCUCAGUGGUGCCU